CAAACCACUCCCAUAGUCGGACGUAAGUUUCUUCAUCUGAAUACAUAUCUACACGCAUGUUCCUCUUCAGUCUUCAAUAGUUAUAUUAUGUGCUUUGCAUAGAUCUACCCAUGCACAUUGAUCAAGAGUUUAAUGCUUGUAUGAUGGAUUUUAAAUUCGAUUCCGGAAGAAUCAAAUUUUUAAUAAGUAAUAAACACAUUUUAGGAUAUUUGAUUAGUAUGUUGUUGUUGUUGAUUAGUAAAUUCGACUUGCUUACCAAGCCUCUAUGUAUAUCAUCUGUAAAGAAAGACACUCUCUGCUACACAAUCUCGUUAUGGAGAUUAAAAACAUCAUUCGGUGUCAUUUAGAUCCUUUGUCAAGAGCUCAAAGAUUAGGCCUCCAUGGAAUCUCAUUUCUAGCAACUUGCUUUGCUCUUUGUAAUUCAUAAUGUGCUCUGUUUGCUUGUUAUGUUGUAGGUGUUAUUCAUUAUAGGAGGCAGGACUUUGUAUU